rnacentral:snRNA from 1 species
AUCGCUUCUCGGCCUUUUGGCUAAGAUCAAAGUGUAAAUCUGUUCUUAUCAGCUUAAUAUCUGAUACGUCCCCUACAUGGGGACCAGAAUAUUAAACUGAUUUUUGGACUUUGGCGGGGUUUUUGGAGCUUGCUCCAGCCCUGCCGCGGGUUGGCCUGGCAUUGCACUACAGCCAGGAUCGGCCCACUUUUG